CUCAUUUAAGGGUUGGCAGUGGAAGUGAGGGCCUCUCCCUGGAGCUCCCUGUGUCCCUGAGGCCUUCUGAAGGGAGAAAAGCUUCACCCAUCUCUUGCACAUCACACUUGGAGGUGAGAGAAGUGUCACAGAGCCAGGAGAGAUGAUCUGAGACAGAGCUUACAAGAAGGCAGCACUGAAAAACCCGACCUGUCAGGGCAAGCAGCGUCAGCUCAGCUCAACAUCACUGCUGGACGGUGCUCUGCUUCCACUUCAGUGUUCCUUUUAAUAUCGUUAAAGGCCAUCAUGUGGGUACCCAACGAGGGGCAGCCGGAGGGAUGCACGCGGGGACCCUGGAGGAUGCGCACAGGUUGUGAGUGCUGGGAGAAGCCCUGUGCAGGGGGGGCAGAGAGCUCAGGCUGCAGGGUUUAUCGGAAGGACAGCGGAGGUGACUUGAUUGCCAUGUGUAAGUACCUUCCUGGGAGCAAACACAGCUGCUGAAGUAUCUUUAAUCUAGUGAAGGAAGACAUAACAAGAGCCUGGAGUUUGAUCGUGUCUGGCUGCUGCUUCCCACUGGAAAAAUAAGGCACGUGCUUCUCGCAGCCAGGCUGGUUAACACAGGGUCAGCUAAGAGAUGCAUUUUGUAUUUUAAUGGCUUCGAAUCUACACCAGGGACCAUUGCUGGGGGCAGAGCCACCCAGUACCCCCCCUGCUUCCUGUGGAAGGGUGGUAUAAGGAGGUGGGUGAUGCAUAAAGCAGCUGGAGCAAGUUAUUUCGUGGAGCAAGCCUUUUUGUGGCUUCGGUGCCACUACAUUUGCCUCUCCUAAAAGCUCUGCACUGCAGAGUGCAUAAAAAUCCCUCCCUUGCGCUCACCACGUCAGUUUGCUCACAUCCUUCCAACCCCAACCACCCCAUAGGGCUGCCAACCUGCUCCUGCCCUGCAGCAAUCUGUACAACCACUGGGACAGAGGGAUGCAAUGCACUCAGAGCUCCGGGCCGCCGUGUUGUGUCAUGCAUGAGUUUCUCUCAUUUGUUUUCCAUUCAAGAUUGGAAAGAAGAAACAGAGGGAGAAGAAACAAACCCAAGCUGACCAAGUGACUUGGAAAGAAGCCAGCCAAGGGGAGCCCCCAUUUGCUUUUGUUUGCAGAGAACCCAGGGCAAAGCCCCGCUCCAGCUGGGGCAUGUCACCAGCUCCUAAAUCCCUGCCCUCAGCUUCAUUAGCAAGCAGUAGAGAGCAGAACUGCUCACCUGGGCUGGCAGAGGAAUGCAAUCAUGCAUGAGUGCCAUGAUAUCGUAGCAUCAUAAUGCAGAAGUACAACGAUGCAGCACUUCCCCUGCAUGGGGCUUUCCAGGAGCAGGGGCAGCAGAUGCCAUAAAUCGUUCAGCAAAAGGACAGGGAAGCGCCAUAGGAGCCGUUACCUCCUCAGAAGUCAAACAGCACAGAUUAGAAUGGCAACGACUCGGGUGUUUUCGCAGGGCUGGGCAGGGAUUGUUCAAGGCUCAGCAGUUCUCUGAGCUCCGUCUCCAGGUCAUUGAUUUAUUUGCUUCUUUGCCACUUGCAUUGCGUGCUGUGCUGAGGGAGGCUGUGAGGGCUCUGGGGCUGCACCUGGGGGCAAUUUGGGGUGCAGGGAAGGUCCCACAGGGCUGAGAAACCGUAGCUUGAUGGAGCAUGGGGCUGAGCCAAGCAGCGCAAAGCAAUGGCCACACACCGCUGUUGCUUUCCUGCUGAUCCCUGUGCACGUAGGGGGACAAAUGUGCCCAGAUCCUCCCCGAGCGGUGCCAGGGAGGAUGGCAUGGUGUAUAUAAAGACAUACAGAAGAGCAGUGGUUGGCUGCAGGAGCUCAGCAAUUAGAGGUGAUGCUGUUGGGUUUGGCACUGAACUCGGAGAUGCAGUGAAGAUGCUGUGAUGCACCCGGUGCCACUCUGACGUUUGGUUUUUAGGCUUUUUAGCAGCUGGGAUGGAUUGAAGCUGUAGAGCAAAGUGUGCUUUUCUGUCCUACCUGCACCAGGGCCUUGUUGUCAUCAUGCAAAAACAACCAUUCAUACAGCAACAGCCAACUACUGGGGAGCAGUGAGCUGUGCAAGGUGUUGUGCAAGGUCCAGCUUCCAUGUAGGGAGGAAACAAAGAGCAUCUCCUGCUCCCCACUUAAUGCAUCUCAGGGGGGACCUGGCAGUGCCUUACUCUGCUCUGCAACCUCCUGAGCAGGGCCAAAAGCAGAGCCUCCUUCCCAAACCCUGCAGUCCUUUGUAGGGAUGUGUGGCACUGAGCUGUGCGCUGAGCGCACUUUUCUCUUUAUAUUACCCAAAGGAAUGAACCGCUAUUAUGAAAUCAUUAAAUUAAUAACUUGGUAAUAUAGGCAGAUAUAUAAAACAAUCUGUUCCUAGAACAAAAGGAAUUUCCACGUCCCAAACAUCCAUAAUUUAAUUUAACAGCGAAUUAAAGCGCUGUACAUAAUUCCCCCCCCUCCAAAAGUCAAUAGUGCUGUGCCAAUAGAGCCCUGCGUGUGCUGGGGGUGGGAAGGGGC
ensembl:lncRNA